AUGGAAAUGACAGGAGGACAAGAAGGUUGUCCAGCAAUAGGAAAACAAGUUGCUCGCAAGUCGUUCCUCUUUAAAGACUACUCCAGUCGGCGUGUCAGUCAGUCCAGGCAGCGGCUGUGGGAGGAGCUCCUCGGGAGGAGGCUGGCGAGGCUGAGAGAGCCAGGGAAUGGAGCGGAGAAGAGCGCGUACAUGAGCGAAGAGGAGGUAGGCGCCGGGAGAGCGAGCGAGGCUGAGCAACUAAACUCCAUCUCCGCCUUAGCAGCAGAAGCAGGAGCCGCCGCCGCCGCCGCUAUUGCUGCCAACCCAGCGAACGCUUCGCCGGUGUGUAGGAAGAGGGCUUCGGCAAGAGAAGAAGGCAGGCGAGAGCAUCGGGAGGCAGAUAAAGCUAGCCCCCGAAACUGCUUAAGCGCGCAAGUUCGUCUCUCUUAUUUCCCCGCCGAACUCUUAAGGAAUGAAAGCUUUUCAGACAGAUCUCGUCCUCCUCUGCUUCUUCCUCUUCAGUCAAGCUACAUGCUAAUAACUAAGAAGCAAGUGUCAAGGGAUGUUCACUGCAUUAUUGGGCACCUUAAAAUACAUCUGCCUUGA
rnacentral:lncRNA from 1 species